GGGGUUGUAGCUCAGUGGUAGAGCACUUGCCUAGCAAGUGUGUGAGGAACUGAGUUCAAUUCUCAGCACCACA
rnacentral:tRNA from 1 species